rnacentral:rRNA from 1 species
AGAUAGCGCCUACGGGAAGCAGCAGUAGGGAAUUUUCGUCAAUGGGGGCAACCCUGAACGAGCAAUGCCGCGUGAGCGAAGAAGGUCUUCGGAUUGUAAAGCUCUGUUGCCGGGGAAAAAGGAAGGAAAGAGGAAAUGCUUUUCUUUGGAUGGUACCCGGCCAGAAAGUCACGGCUAACUACGUGCC